rnacentral:lncRNA from 1 species
CGAUGUUAUACGAACCGCCGGAACUUCAGGAGGACCUGAGCUACGAGGAAUUCCCGGUGGCAAUUACCGCUCGUGAAGUGCGCAAGUUAAGGAAUCGGGAAAUUCCUUAUGUCCGAGUCCGGUGGAGCAAUCGUGAUGAUCGCGAAGCCACCUGGGAGCUCGAGGAGGAGAUGAAGGCGAAUCAUCCUCGCCUGUUCGAAG